UACGGAGGAUGCGAGCGUUAUCCGGAUUUAUUGGGUUUAAAGGGUGCGCAGGCGGCACGGCAAGCCGGCGGUCAAAUCGCGGGGCUCAACCCCGCCCAGCCGUCGGAACUGCCGGGCUAGAGUGGGCGAGAAGUGCGCGGAAUGCGUGGUGUAGCGGUGAAAUGCAUAGAUAUCACGCUGAACUCCGAUUGCGAAGGCAGCGCACCGGCGCCCUACUGACGCUCAGGCACGAAAGCGUGGGUAUCGAACAGG
rnacentral:rRNA from 1 species